rnacentral:rRNA from 1 species
CCUACGGGAGGCAGCAGUGGGGAAUAUUGGGCAAUGGGCGCAAGCCUGACCCAGCAACGCCGCGUGAAGGAAGAAGGCUUUCGGGUUGUAAACUUCUUUUAAGAGGGAAGAGCAGAAGACGGUACCUCUUGAAUAAGCUACGGCUAACUACGUGCCAGCAGCCGCGGUAAUACGUAGGUGGCAAGCGUUGUCCGGAUUUACUGGGUGUAAAGGGCGUGCAGGCGGGAAGACAAGUCAGAUGUGAAAGCCCGCGGCUCAACCGCGGAACUGCAUUUGAAACUGUUUGUCUUGAGUACCGGAGAGGACAUCGGAAUUCCUUGUGUAGCGGUGAAAUGCGUAGAUAUAAGGAAGAACACCAGUGGCGAAGGCGGAUGACUGGACGGCAACUGACGGUGAGGCGCGAAAGCGUGGGGAGCAAACAGGAUUAGAUACCCUAGUAGUC